rnacentral:rRNA from 1 species
AGUGAACGCUGGCGGUAGGCCUAACACAUGCAAGUCGAACGGCAGCACAGUAAGAGCUUGCUCUUACGGGUGGCGAGUGGCGGACGGGUGAGGAAUACAUCGGAAUCUACUUUUUCGUGGGGGAUAACGUAGGGAAACUUACGCUAAUACCGCAUACGACCUACGGGUGAAAGCAGGGGAUCUUCGGACCUUGCGCGAUUGAAUGAGCCGAUGUCGGAUUAGCUAGUUGGCGGGGUAAAGGCCCACCAAGGCGACGAUCCGUAGCUGGUCUGAGAGGAUGAUCAGCCACACUGGAACUGAGACACGGUCCAGACUCCUAAGGGAGGCAGCAGUGGGGAAUAUUGGACAAUGGGCGCAAGCCUGACCCAGCCAUACCGCGUGGGUGAAGAAGGCCUUCGGGUUGUAAAGCCGUUUUGUUGGGAAAGAAAAGCAGCAGGUUAAUACCCCGCUGUUCUGACGGUACCCAAUGAAUAAGCACCGGCUAACUUCGUG